rnacentral:rRNA from 1 species
UUUCAGAUACGUACUCGUAGCGAAAGCGAGUUUUUAAUAGAGCGAUUGUAUGCAGCAGUAGACGCGAAACCGUGUGAUCUAUCCAUGGGCAGGAUGAAGCGCAGGUAACACUUCGUGGAGGUCCGAACCGGUUGAUGUUGAAAAAUCUUCGGAUGACCUGUGGAUAGGGGUGAAAGGCCAAUCAAACUCGGUGAUAGCUCGUACUCCCGAAAUGUUUUUAGGAACAGCCUUGUAAUAGAGUUUAGGAGGUAGGGCUCUGAUAGGGUAAGGGCUUUCACAAAGGUACCGACCCCUGAUAAACUACAAAUUCCUUUUACUUGUUUUACAGGAGUGAGGCGUAGAGGGAUAAGCUUCUGCGCCGAGAGGGAAAGAACCCAGACCGCCUGCUAAGGUCCCCAAAUAAUUGCUAACAGCUAAAGGAUGUUGUGUUGCUAAGACAGCCAGGAUGUUGGCUUAGAAGCAGCCAUCCGUUCAAAGAGUGCGUAAUAGCUCACUGGUCGAGCGACACAGCGCCGACAAUUUCCGGG